rnacentral:rRNA from 1 species
CCGAGCGGCGAACGGGUGAGUAACACGUGGGUGAUCUGCCCUGCACUCUGGGAUAAGCUUGGGAAACUGGGUCUAAUACCGGAUAUGACCACAGCAUGCAUGUGUUGUGGUGGAAAGAUUUAUCGGUGCAGGAUGGGCCCGCGGCCUAUCAGCUUGUUGGUGGGGUAAUGGCCUACCAAGGCGACGACGGGUAGCCGACCUGAGAGGGUGACCGGCCACACUGGGACUGAGACACGGCCCAGACUCCUACGGGAGGCAGCAGUGGGGAAUAUUGCACAAUGGGCGGAAGCCUGAUGCAGCGACGCCGCGUGAGGGAUGAAGGCCUUCGGGUUGUAAACCUCUUUCAGCAGGGACGAAGCGUGAGUGACGGUACCUGCAGAAGAAGCACCGGCUAACUACGUGCCAGCAGCCGCGGUAAUACGUAGGGUGCGAGCGUUGUCCGGAAUUACUGGGCGUAAAGAGUUCGUAGGCGGUUUGUCGCGUCGUUUGUGAAAACCCGGGGCUCAACUUCGGGCUUGCAGGCGAUACGGGCAGACUUGAGUGUUUCAGGGGAGACUGGAAUUCCUGGUGUAGCGGUGAAAUGCGCAGAUAUCAGGAGGAACACCGGUGGCGAAGGCGGGUCUCUGGGAAACAACUGACGCUGAGGAACGAAAGCGUGGGUAGCAAACAGGAUUAGAUACCCUGGUAGUCCACGCCGUAAACGGUGGGCGCUAGGUGUGGGUUCCUUCCACGGGAUCUGUGCCGUAGCUAACGCAUUAAGCGCCCCGCCUGGGGAGUACGGCCGCAAGGCUAAAACUCAAAGGAAUUGACGGGGGGCCCGCACAAGCGGCGGAGCAUGUGGAUUA